CUGAAAUAGAGUUGUUCAAAAUUUACACACACUCUUCCAGUUUCAUUUGAAUAACAAUGACCCGCGCUGACCUGACACGCCCCCCGAGCAGCGCUCCUGGAAAUUAACUGGAUAACAGGACGCCAAUAAUGACGCAACAUCCCCUCACAGACAGAUCUCAUGUGUCCAAACUCCAAACAGUCCUCUUGAGCUUUUCUGUUGCCUUUCAAUGGCCGUGGCGCUCUACAAGUCUCGACUUCACCUGCUUUCUUUUUUUCCCCCUCUUUUUCUUUUUCUUUUCACCACAUAGAAUCCAUGCAGUUGAGCCAGAUCUGUUGGGUUAUUCCACCUGCCAAGGAUUAUGUUAUAUGAGGACUGUCAGCGUCUCUUUGAUGCAACUUUUGGAUGGAGUGGAAGUCAACAGCAAUGACUUCAACAUGUGUCUAAUCAGAUGGUCGGCGUAUUGUGAACUGGAGCUGCUUUGUAGCUUUCAAACAUGGAUCAGCUUUUCUGAAUUAAGGACUCUGGCUGUAAAACAAAAAUUAAGUGCGGAUACAAGCUUUCAUUCACAGUGUAAGUCAUGACGGUUGAUAACGAAGCGAGUUAAAUGUGCUCUGUGUUCUGGAGAAUUUAAGGAUUGCUUGGUUUUUUGGCCCCCCACUGAAAAAUGUUCUGCUGCCUAAGAGUCCUACAUACAGUAUGAAUAGCCUCAAUGAGAGUGUAUUAUAUGUAUUUCUCUAAACAAAUCAUACUUAACAGACAGGACUUGUCUUGUGCUUUGCUGUGUUAUCUCAGAGAAAGGUAUGCAUGAAGAUGAAUUCUCACUGACGCAGAGAUAUCUGUUUAUAUGAUCGACUGCUUUCUUGAGAUGCAGGAGCAUUAAGAGGUCCACAAUAGGAUAGAUGAGUUAUCUGGCCAUCUACUGCUCUCUCCCACUUUCUUGCUCUCUUUUUUCUUUUUCUAGUUGUCUCACAAGCUGUUUGUGCAGCUUUCCCGCAGUUCAGAAGGCCUUGUGUUAGAUCAGGUGUUGCUGAGCUCUUUGAAUAUUUACACAAUUAGAUGCUUUAGAGCGAAGGUCAGCUCAUGGGUCAGAAACGGGUCACAGAUUUCUUAAAACAAAAAUCGCUUAUGAUUUAGAAAUAUUAUUAAUGAUUGAAAAACAUUUUCCUGCAAAAUAUCGAUAGCAUCAACAUAACGCAGGAAGACAUUUGUUAUCAUGUGACAAGGCAUUAAACUGCUACUUAAAGAUGAAAAUUCUGUCAUCGUUUAUUUACCCUCAGAUUGUUCACCUGUAAGAAUUUAUUUUUUCUGUUGAAUACAGAAGAAGAUAUUUUUAAGGAUUUGUUGGUAAACAAAUUGUUGAUGGGCAUUGACUUACAUAGUAUGAAAAAAAAAAUUACUAUGGAAGUCAGAGGGAACCAGAAACAUUUUUCAAAAUUUCCUCUUUUGUGUUCAACAGAACACACGUACUUACAAUGCUUACAUAAUAUUCAUGACUUUUUUUUCCAGAUAUGAGAAAUAUUUGUAUUUUAUUUUGUUUUAUUUACUUGUUACUUUUUGGAGCCAUUAAAUCUUUUUUGUUUUGUUUUGUGUUUAGUCCCACUGUCAUAUGAACAAGAUUCUUUUCAUAUUAAACUGUAAUAUAAAUAUUUUGGGUGAUAAAUUAUUUCAAUUCACUGGCAGGUGUAGACACUGAGUUUUUGUGAUAAUGUAUUCAUUAUAUUUUAAUGUAACACACACACACACAUGCUGUUUAUAAUCUACACAAAGCAAACAUUUUCCAUCUCAGACCAGCCAAUUCUUCAGUUCAUGGAAAUUUCCGAUAUGAAAAACGUAUUCUCUGUUAAUACUGCCACAUGUUUUUAUCAGCACUUAAACACCCUCUUUGUUUUUUGCAAACAAGACUCUGUUUCCUAAAACAUUUGCACCCUCAUCCCUUCUACACUCAAAAACAUAUUAACAAUUUCACCGGGUGCAUGUGAACAAUAACCACUGCUAGAGAGAGAGAGAGAGAGAGAGAGAGAGCUGCCUGUGCAUCUCCAUUCAAGCAGACAUGAAGCUGGAGCACUGACAGCAGCAUUCAUAAGGUUUCAAUAUCUGAAAGGUUCCCCCCUCCUUCUCUAUAGUGUCAUGUAAUACAAAACUGUGGGAGACUAUAAAAAUAUUAGCAUGUGAAACAUUAAAACUAAUUCCACUUUUCCUGGUCACAUUAACACACCAUAUCUGGCUGCCUCCUCUUGACCUUUUGGUCUAUUCGAUACAAUAAUUUUCUUUUUUCUUUUCUUUUUUUCUAAGGGAAAUGGAUAGACAUGUUCUCUGAGGUGUGUGUGUGUGUCUAAGUAUAAGACAAAUGUGGACAAGCACUGUAAAACAAAAUCCUUACUCUGUUCUUAAAAAACAAAGAAAUCUGAUACUGAUUGAGCUUCUGUUUGUAUAUAAGUAACAUAUUUGAAACUAUAUUUUAAAAUAGUUACUAAUGCAAGAUGAUAUAAUAAGGGCCUGUGUUUGAAUAUUGGUAAGGCCUGUGCCUGUGUUGUAAUGUGUGUUUUUUUCCAGCCAAAUAAAAAUCUAAAUACUGGCCAAGUGAAUGUAAAUUGUUUUUGGUCGUAGCUUUAGAUUCGAGAACAAUUUCAUGAAGGC